GUACACUCCUGCGGGAGGCAGCAGUGGGGAAUAUUGCACAAUGGGCGCAAGCCUGAUGCAGCCAUGCCGCGUGUAUGAAGAAGGCCUUCGGGUUGUAAAGUACUUUCGGCGGGGAGGAAGGCAAUACGGUUAAUAACCGUGUUGAUUGACGUUACCCGCAGAAGAAGCACCGGCUAACUCCGUGCCAGCAGCCGCGGUAAUACGGAGGGUGCAAGCGUUAAUCGGAAUUACUGGGCGUAAAGCGCACGCAGGCGGUCUGUCAAGUCGGAUGUGAAAUCCCCGGGCUCAACCUGGGAACUGCAUUCGAAACUGGCAGGCUUGAGUCUUGUAGAGGGGGGUAGAAUUCCAGGUGUAGCGGUGAAAUGCGUAGAGAUCUGGAGGAAUACCGGUGGCGAAGGCGGCCCCCUGGACAAAGACUGACGCUCAGGUGCGAAAGCGUGGGGAGCAAACAGGAUUAGAAACCCGUGUAGUCCCA
rnacentral:rRNA from 1 species